ACAUCCAGCGAACUUGGCAGAGAUGCCUUGGUGCCUUCGGGAACGCUGAGACAGGUGCUGCAUGGCUGUCGUCAGCUCGUAUUGUGAAAUGUUGGGUUAAGUCCCGNAACGAGCGCAACCCUUAUCCUUUGUUGCCAGCGAUUCGGUCGGGAACUCAAAGGAGACUGCCGGUGAUAAACCGGAGGAAGGUGGGGAUGACGUCAAGUCAUCAUGGCCCUUACGAGUAGGGCUACACACGUGCUACAAUGGCGCAUACAAAGAGAAGCGACCUCGCGAGAGCAAGCGGACCUCAUAAAGUGCGUCGUAGUCCGGAUCGGAGUCUGCAACUCGACUCCGUGAAGUCGGAAUCGCUAGUAAUCGUGGAUCAGAAUGCCACGGUGAAUACGUUCCCGGGCCUUGUACACACCGCCCGUCACACCAUGGGAGUGGGUUGCAAAAGAAGUAGGUAGCUUAACCUUCGGGAGGGCGCUUACCACUUUGUGAUUCAUGACUGGGGUGAAGUCGUAACAAGGUAGGCGUAGCGAG
rnacentral:rRNA from 1 species